rnacentral:rRNA from 1 species
UACGAAGGGGGCUAGCGUUGUUCGGAAUCACUGGGCGUAAAGGGCGCGUAGGCGGCUGUUCCAAGUCGGGGGGUGAAAGCCUGUGGCUCAACCACAGAAUGGCCUCGAUACUGGACGGCUCGAGACCGGAAGAGGUGAGUGGAACUGCGAGUGUAGAGGUGAAAUUCGAUAGAUAUUCGCAAGAACACCAGUGGCGAAGGCGGCUCACUGGUCCGGUUCUGACGCUGAGGCGCGAAAGCGUGGGGAGCAAACAGG